rnacentral:rRNA from 1 species
UACAGCGGUGGCGAGCGUUAAUCGGAAUUACUGGGCGUAAAGCGUGCGUAGACGGUUAUUAAGUCGGGUGUGAAAGCCCGGGCUCAACCUGGGAAUUGCAUUCGAGACUGAAUAAGCUAGGGUACGGUAGAGGGAAGCGGGAAUUUCCGGUGUAGCGGUGAAAUGCGUAGAUAUCGGAAGGAACAUCAGUGGCGAAAGCGGCUCCUGGACCAGUACCGA